rnacentral:rRNA from 1 species
GCUCACAUCACACUAGCCAAUUCACGCUGACAAAUAUUAGUACAACAAUAAUAGACACAAGGAUUCAGACACUAGAAACCAAAUAUUGUAUAGUUUUCCACAAGUACAUUGAAAUUAUAGCAGACCAUAAAACACACGAAGGCACCAAUAAUGUGUGCAGAACAGUACACCAUAUUCAUCAUAAUGAUUUUAGAAAUUCGUGAGAAGUAAAGAGAGAAAAGGGGAACAACAACAGUUGGGGUCCUAGAAGAAUACGGCAGCAAGAGGGGUUCAGAGCAGAGCUUCAGCGAGUGAGGAGCAGCAAGGGGGCACUGGCGAAGAGCAGCAGCAGGUUGGAGAUUAGAGUAUUAGCAGCAGCAGGGGCGUCAGGGAGAGAGAAGCAGCAGGUUGAGGCAACAAAAGCAAGGGGAUGCAAGGAGAAGGAGCAGCAGGAGCGUUGAGAGAAGAAAAAGAAGAAGAGCAAUAGCAGGGUUAGGAGUUCAGGGAAGAAGACAACAGCAAGAGGAGGAGUAGAAGGGCAUCAGGGAGAUGGGGGAAGAGGGCAACACAGGCGUUGGGCGCGUGAUGGAUCAGGCACCGCCGGCCCUCUGUCUGGUGAGUUGCGUGAGGUGGAUGUGGUGCGGAUGGAUGGAUGGGUGGUGAUGCUGGUUGUGGUGGAGUGGUGGAGCUGGUGACAUGUCGCCACGCCGGCCUGGCCGCGGCGGCGGCCGGAGGUGGAGAAGGAGGGAUGAGGGAGAGAGAUGUGUGCCAGGCUCACUUUGGAAAUGGAGGCUGCUAGGGAUUUUGAUCCCCUCCCUGAUCUGCC